rnacentral:rRNA from 1 species
GACGAACGCUGGCGGCGUGCUUAACACAUGCAAGUCGAACGGAAAGGCCCCUUCGGGGGUACUCGAGUGGCGAACAGGUGAGUAACACGUGAGUAACCUGCCCUUGACUUCGGGAUAACUUCAGGAAACUGGGGCUAAUACCGGAUAGGAAUCCUUGCUGCAUGGUGGGGGUUGGAAAGCUUCGUGGGUUUUGGAUGGACUCGCGGCUUAUCAGCUUGUUGGUGGGGUAGUGGCUUACCAAGGCUUUGACGGGUAGCCGGCCUGAGAGGGCGACCGGCCACAUUGGGAGUGAGAGACGGCCCAGACUCCUACGGGAGGCAGGAGUGGGGAAUAUUGGACAAUGGGCGGAAGCCUGAUGCAGCAACGCCGCGUGCGGGAGGACGGCCUUCGGGUUGUAAACCGCUUUCAGCAGGGGCGAAGCUUGUGGUGACGGUACCUGCAGAAGAAGCACCGGCUAACUACGUG